CUAAUUUGGAACUGAUUUUGUGGAACCCAACUGAGGAGCUAGAAUGCAGAAAACCAAAUUCUAGUUUUGUCCUGGCCUGGUCCUCUCCAUUGUGGAAGACUGUGAUAUCAGUAUGGACACAUAUAGUAAUUGAACUGUUCUACUGUCACUGAUUGGGAAUCAGUUCGCAAUAGUUGUGGGAUACAGUACUAGAACAGACACCAAGCUAAAAGAAGAAUGUCUACAUAGAUAUUUAUAUCACCCCCAUAAACUUUGAUUUCUAAGUUCCCAUUUGAGCAGGCGCUGUUAGAUUGAAGUAGCAUCAGGAAACACUGGCAAAAAUAAAAAUCACUACAGGAAGAUACACUUUGAUUAUCAAGAACAAAGAAGCAAACAUAAGAACAUAAUAAGAAAGCAGCACAUCAGCAUCUGAGUUUGGAACCAAAGGAAGACCUGCUGAGGACAAGGAACUAGUAAGAAAAAGCAGUUAAAGAAUGAAACUUACCCCUGA